rnacentral:rRNA from 1 species
ACCAGUACCGUGAGGGAAAGGCGAAAAGAACCCCGGCGAGGGGAGUGAAAAAGAACCUGAAACCGUGUACGUACAAGCAGUGGGAGCACAGGUUUACCUGUGUGACUGCGUACCUUUUGUAUAAUGGGUCAGCGACUUAUAUUCUGUAGCAAGGUUAACCGAAUAGGGGAGCCGGAGGGAAACCGAGUCUUAAUUGGGCGUUAAGUUGCAGGGUAUAGACCCGAAACCCGGUGAUCUAGCCAUGGGCAGGUUGAAGGUUGGGUAACACUAACUGGAGGACCGAACCGACUAAUGUUGAAAAAUUAGCGGAUGACCUGUGGCUGGGGGUGAAAGGCCAAUCAAACCGGGAGAUAGCUGGUUCUCCCCGAAAGCUAUUUAGGUAGCGCCUCGUGAAUUCAUCUCCGGGGGUAGAGCACUGUUUCGGCUAGGGGGCCAUCCCGGCUUACCAACCCGAUGCAAACUGCGAAUACCGGAGAAUGUUAUCACGGGAGACACACGGCGGGUGCUAACGUCCGUCGUGAAGAGGGAAACAACCCAGACCGCCAGCUAAGGUCCCAAAGUCAUGGUUAAGUGGGAAACGAUGUGGGAAGGCCCAGACAGCCAGGAUGUUGGCUUAGAAGCAGCCAUCAUUUAAAGAAAGCGUAAUAGCUCACUGGUCGAGUCGGCCUGCGCGGAAGAUGUAACGGGGCUAAACCAU